rnacentral:lncRNA from 1 species
GUUGCUAAUUGCCGAGGUCCUCUUCUAGGAUUGGUUGUCCACUCAUAACCAUAAGAUAAUUAAAACGGGGGGGGGCAGGGUAAAAAAAAAACCCUUUUAUCAGCCAUAGGUUAAUGCAAGUGUUUAACAGAUGCUUCGCUAUUAAAAUAUUUCCCCCCAAUACUGAAGAAUCUUAAACCAGCAACCCUAACAGAGAUUGCGAAGAUUUUCAAAGUGGGGCACCUCGAUUUCUCGAAUCUGUGGUGUGGCGAAUAUCCGUGUUCCUCCUGCUUAACUAGCCUGUUUGAAGGCACAGUUCAUUCUCGAGCAAUUCGUCACCUCCUGGGGGUCUUCUCUUCCCGUCUACAGGAGAGUGUGACUUCAGAAAGAACUUCGGAUUGGCCAAGGCCAUUAAAGCUGGUGAGCGACUUGGAAGUCAUUUAGAAAGGAACAGACCUUCAACCUCAAGCCUUUGCGGGCACUGGGAAAGUGUCUUCCCAAUCAAUCUGGCUUGCAGGCGGCAGGACCAACUCUGACCUGGCUUAUCUUGUACCCAUCCUAAAUACACCAAACUCAAGAGGUAGCCAGGGCCGCCUCAACACCGAGGCAGGUCUGAUUCUAUUUAUUCUAAAGACAGAGUUGGAGAUGGGCUACCAUUGGUGUUGAUUGAGAUGACAAGCAGUCACCUGAGCCCAUACAGCUGUGGGAGAAAGUGCUUGCUGCCAAGCUUGAUGACCUAAAUUGAAUACCUGGAACCUACACGACAGAAAGAGAGAGCUGACUGCUGAAAGAUGUCCUCAGAUCUUCACAUGUGCACAGUGGCACCUAUCCAACCAUGCACAUAGUAUAUUAAAAAUUAUUUUUUAAAAAAUCCA